rnacentral:lncRNA from 1 species
CCAGCUCUUUUCUCCAUCCUCUGCUGUGGAUAGUCGGACAUCUGCUGAUACUCUUCCCUUUUUGUAGUGCUUAAUUGUCACUUCAAGUUGCGAUAUUUGUCUUGGCAUUACCUAAUGGGAAGAGGUACCUCCCAAAGGCGAUGUUUCUUGUUAAUCUGAACAUUAGAGAAGCAAGGAAAUAUUUUCCUUGUGUUGUUCUCAGGUAAAGUUUGUUUUUUAUUUCCAGCUGCUUUGGGACUGUAUGCUGCAAAAAGCAAGCCAAACUUUCAAACUGUUUCCUUCUGUGACUCAUAGUGAAGGAGGUAUGCUGCAAACCCUAUGCAGCAGGGUGUGACUCUAUGGCAAACAUGUUUGUACAGAUCCUCACUGAGUGCUUUUAAAACACACUGCUUGUUUCUGUCAAAGUAACGAAUGUGCUCUAGACUGCAAACUGGUGUCACUGAUGCCACAGUUGCCUUCAAAAUGUCUUGAAGAUUACCUAUAAUGCAGUGUUCAGAAGGAGGAGAGAUUCAGCACAGGGAUUUCUGGUGGAAGAGGCUCUGCCAGUUGGAAGCUGCAAAACAGUGGCCAACAGCUAAAACAUACAAUGAAGCCAUCAAGUUUUCAUCUUCAUUGUGAGAAAGAUGGAGCAAGACCUCCCUAGUCAUCUCUGUAUUAAUGUCACUGCUGUGAUAUCAAACUCAUCAUAAGGAGAUUAAAU